UACGGAGGGUGCAAGCGUUAUCCGGAUUCACUGGGUUUAAAGGGUGCGUAGGUGGGCAAGUAAGUCAGUGGUGAAAUCCCCGAGCUUAACUUGGGAACUGCCAUUGAUACUAUUUGUCUUGAAUACUGUGGAGGUUAGCGGAAUAUGUCAUGUAGCGGUGAAAUGCUUAGAUAUGACAUAGAACAUCAAUUGCGAAGGCAGCUGGCUACACAAAUAUUGACACUGAUGCACGAAAGCGUGGGGAUCAAACAGG
rnacentral:rRNA from 1 species